rnacentral:rRNA from 1 species
UACGAAUGGGGCAAGCGUUGUUCGGAAUCACUGGGCUUAAAGCGUGCGUAGGCGGACUCUCAAGUCAGAAGUGAAAGCCCUGGGCUUAACCCGGGAAUUGCUUUUGAAACUAGGAGUCUAGAGACCUGGAGAGGUUGGGGGAAUUCCGAGUGUAGAGGUGAAAUUCGCAGAUAUUCGGAGGAACACCAGUGGCGUAGGCGCCCAACUGGACAGGUACUGACGCUGAGGUACGAAAGCGUGGGGAGCAAAC